rnacentral:rRNA from 1 species
UACGAAGGGGGCUAGCGUUGCUCGGAAUCACUGGGCGUAAAGCGCACGUAGGCGGUUUGCUAAGUCAGGGGUGAAAUCCUGGAGCUCAACUCCAGAACUGCCUUUGAUACUGGCGGACUUGAGUCCGGGAGAGGUGAGUGGAACUGCGAGUGUAGAGGUGAAAUUCGUAGAUAUUCGCAAGAACACCAGUGGCGAAGGCGGCUCACUGGCCCGGUACUGACGCUGAGGUGCGAAAGCGUGGGAGCAA